CGAUUACGGGGCGCGGCAGGCGCGAAACCUCUGCAAUAGGCGAAAGCCUGACAGGGUUACUCUGAGUGACUUUCGCUAAGAAAGUCUUUUGGCACCUUUAAAAAGGGUGCAGAAUAGGGGGUGGGCAAGUCUGGUGUCAGCCGCCGCGGUAAUACCAGCACCCCGAGUGGUCGGGACGAUUAUUGGGCCUAAAGCAUCCGUAGCCGGUUCUGCAAGUCCCCCGUUAAAUCCAGCUGCUCAACAGAUGGGCCGCAGAGGAUACUACAGAGCUAGGAGGCAGGAGAGGCAAGCGGUACUCAGUGGGUAGGGGUAAAAUCCGUUGAUCCAUAGAAGACCACCAGUGGCGAAGGCGGCUUGCCAGAACGCACUCGACGGUGAGGGAUGAAAGCUGGGGGAGCAAACCGGAUUAGAUACCCGGGUAGUCCCAGCUGUAAACGAUGCAGACUCGGUGAUGAAUAGGCUUCGUGCCUAUUCAGUGCCGCAGGGAAGCCGUUAAGUCUGCCGCCUGGGGAGUACGGUCGCAAGGCUAAAACUUAAAGGAA
rnacentral:rRNA from 1 species